AGGAAUGAUCCAGGAUCAUCCAGCAUUCCUGAGACUGAUCAGGUCCAACAAACAACUAUUCCAGAUCAGGACAGUUCCAUUCUCUAUGCUGAGAUUGACAGCAACAGAACAGCUCAGCCUGACUCCUGUACCUAUGCCAGCAUCGUGUUUGACAGCAACAGAAAAGUUCAAGAUGACAAGAGUCUCUCAGUUGCGGAAUCAGAAGAGAAUGUAACCUAUGCAGCUGUUAUGGACACACAUUAGGAACUGAGAUGGAUUAGAAUUGUUUGAAAGCUAAGGAUUGUUUAAGGAAUACUGUAUGUUUUUGAAAGCAAGUAACCUGACACUCAUUGUAAGUACUGUUUACACAGCUGCUGGGUCAGACAGCAGCAGAAGGUGCAGACGAGAUGGAGACAAGGGCGUGUACAAAUGGAGAUUCAGCUGGCAACAAGUAUCUGACUGGUCUUUGUACUAAUGACUAGUAAUCAAUGACAAAAACUUCAUGCUGCCAGCAAUGAUUUGAUUGCUUCCCAGGUAACUGAACAGCUUGUGUGGAUGUGAACACUAUCGGGAGAAGCCAUCAAACCAUCACCAGUUCAGGAACUGAUCAUCAUCAGCUCUGUUACCUGCAAUAAAAGUUACUUUAACUCUGAGGACACUGAGCUUAUUUUCUUUUCUUUUAGCAGUUGCAAUAAGCUCUGACCUUUGAUUAAUAAGUCAGGCCAAUAUAAGCCACCCUGUGUCUCGUGUAAACCAGUGACAACAUCUGCACAUGGAAGAUGGAGAAGGAGAAGGAAGUAGCAUUCUGAUCACAAGCAUCAUCUCAGCGGAUCCUGUGAACUGGGACCACUGAAACUGCUUUCUGUGUUUUCCUUCAAAUCAAUGAUGAAUGUUUCAUUCCUGUCUGUAUGUGUAUGUGUGCGGAUUUAAGGGGAAUUCGUUCAUGAGGAUCUUAGAGUUUUAACGAGUGGCGUUAUAUG